CUCGAUGUACAUGCCUUCUUGGCCAUCCUCUGAUGUUCUGGGAGUUUAGGGAACCCAGGGAGGAUCAAAGAGAGAGAGAGACGUCAAUGUGCCACUGAUCAGUUGCCUCCCACGUGUCCCCAUUCAGGGGUCUGGCCCACAGCCCAGGAGCUGCAACUUCUGACACCGUCUGACAGCUUCGCACGGGAUGGAGGUGCUGGGUCACACUGGAUGGAAAGUGUGGCCGACCAGUUCUGCAGUGAAGCUGCUUCGAUUCACUCCCUCCCAUCAGAAAGAACACUGCUUUUUUUGUACUUCCCCUUGCAACUCUGCAGUCUCUGAAGCAGAGCAAUGAAUCUUGUUGUCAACACAAAUAGACCUCAUAAAAUUCAAAGUUAAAAUUACCUCUGACAGUUUCCUCACCCAUUAAAAGAGCGGGUUAGACCAGAUAAUCUCUAAGGGUCUUUCCAAUUCUCAGGUCUAGUGACUUUACGACUUCAGUCAACAAUAUAAAACAAUAGUGGGAAGCAAAUGACUUCCUCUAAAACUCUGCAGGUUCUGGAGAGUUGAUCUGAAAAGUUGAAAGCCAAAAUGAACUCUGAAAU